rnacentral:rRNA from 1 species
UACGGAGGGGGCUAGCGUUGUUCGGAAUUACUGGGCGUAAAGCGCGCGUAGGCGGCUUUUGUAAGUUAGAGGUGAAAGCCCGGAGCUUAACUCCGGAACUGCCUUUAAGACUGCAUCGCUAGAAUCGUGGAGAGGUGAGUGGAAUUCCGAGUGUAGAGGUGAAAUUCGUAGAUAUUCGCAAGAACACCAGUGGCGAAGGCGGCUCACUGGCCCGAUACUGACGCUGAGGCACGAAAGCGUGGGGAGCAAACAGG